AUGACUUGUGAACAAUCCAAAUCCUGGUUAAAGGUUGUUGAAUACUAUACUGAACUGUUGAGAAUUGUGAACAAAGUUAAAACUCUCAGAAUUUUUGAAACUGACCUUCCUUAUGCACAGCUGCUAUACGAAACCUAUUAUCACUUAGCAGUAGCUUAUCAAAGCUUGAAUCUCCAUAAGAAGGCCAUAGAACAAUUAAAUCUUGCAACAGAAAUUGCAUCAAUCCCUAAGAAUGGUUGUGAAGUUGGAUGUAAUUAUGAAACUUUCUAUCACACUCCAAUAUUUUCAAGAAGAGCAUUUUCUCACGUAGUCCGUGGUAAGAAGAAAGAAGCUCUACAGGAUGCUAACAAAGCUAUUAAUUUGGACAGAUUGAACCCAGAUGUGUACUGUGUCAGAGCUCUAGUGUGGAAUUCAUACAAAGAAACUAAAAGAGCUAUUUAUGAUUUAAACAAGGGCCUCAGGCUAAAUCCUUACCAUACUUGUGCUUUGAUCAUAAGAGGGGCAAUUACCAAUUCUCUUCAUCCUAAAACUGAAAAGAACCAUGAGAAUAAAGAUCAUGAGAAGGCUUAUAAAAUAUGCCCGAAGAGCCAGUUUUUCUUGGAUGUAACUAACUUUAAGAAUCCUAAAAUGGCAGAGUUCUAUGAUAAAUUCCUAUGGUCCCUCAACGUUCCUCAUACUGUAACAUCACUGAAUCUAUUGAGAGGAUAUGCUAGCUCUUACACAAAUUUAUCAAGAAAAAAGAUUUCACAGAAAUCGAAAAAAGUUCCCUUAAUGCCUUCUCUAUCAUCUACACCACGAACUACCAGUAGUUAUUUGAAGAGAUCAGCAACAGCAUCAUCUAAUUCUUCAAGCUUUUUGAAGAUACCCCAGUUUCUAUGAAACUCCACGGAGAGCAGAUCCAUUAUGGUUCUGCAAAAAGAGGAAGGAACUCAUAUAUGCAUUUUCAAGAAAUUUUGAAGAGUGCUCCGUAAGAACAGUGCCAUGCUGGUGUCAUCCAAGUCUUCCCUUCUGAAUAAUGUUUUCCUUCUGAAACAGUAAAAUGAAUUAAGUGUUUUAUCUUAGCCUAUUAUACUCUGGUAUCAUCCAAAUUGAUAGUUUUAUUUCUUGCUUACUUCCGGUAUGGAUCAUUGAAAGACACAAAUAAUAUGGCCAAGACUCCAGUCAAAACUGUAUAGUGAGAAUAUUACUGGGAGUGACUGUCAGCCUUGUUUCUGGAUACAUGACUGCUAAAAAGGAAUGGAAUUUUCCUAUCUAUGGGUGUUGGAGGCAUACUUCUGAUGAUCUCGCCAAGCUAUAACCAAUGUGUAUAGGACUGAACUGGGCAAAGCAACCUGUUUGUACUGGAGACCUUGAAGAAAAACAGAAGAAUAGUAGGCAAUUUUGAUAGAGAAAAAAUAAUAAUAAAAUGUCCAUAAUGUUAUUCCA
ensembl:lncRNA